UCAAGAAUUUUGUGAUGUCAUAACUGGAGAAAGCCUCAGAAGUCUUAAAGCCAAGUAAUGAAAUCUUCGCCCAGAAGCUUGGGGGUGGGGGGAGGGCGGUACGCCGCUGAGCUGCGUGUAACUCCUCAGAGAGCACGUGCCCUUCAUUUCUGGUUUAGUGCCAGAGGUGGGGGUGGGAGCAGAUGGGUCUCAGCUGCCCCCGCUGCUGAAGGCGCCCUCCCAGGGCCGCAGACGCCUCCCCGCUCCUUCUCCCUUGGCCCCUGCGCCCAUCCCACUUACGUUCAUUGGGUGCUAGGCACUGCUGUAGCCCGCUGAGCAGCCCCCAUCCCCAAGCAAAAGCCCCUGUUCCUCUGGUGAUUUAAGUUGUAGUGACCUAAUGAAUGAAACAUAAACAAAUUAGAUAGUAUGAAGAUUUAAGCGCCGUGGGAAAGACGAAUGUCGGGUGAUAAAGGUGAGCUCCAGAGAGAGGGGUGAGCGGCCUUCUGAAGAGGAUGCACACCUCCCGCAGCCUCUGCCUGCAGGAGCGUCAGUCCUUCGGCUGUCCGUCUCCCCUCCUCCCCCUGCCGCGGUUCCAACGCUCAGGCCCACCCUGGAUCCACCCCGCUGCCACUCCCCGAACACUGGGCACCCAGUGACACGCACCUCGACGAAGCUGGCAGCCGACACGCCACCACUGCCCCUUGGGCCCCCCUUCCCUCUGGCUCCAGGCAAUCAAAAGGGUAAAUAAGGGUGCAGUCUUUCCUCCAAGUCUGUAAGGCCGUCUCCAUGUGAGCAGGACGCUAAGGCCCCAGGGGCUGCAGAAGGACCGUCCCCUUCUGCUCUCAGUGUGGCAGGAGAAAUGAAGGAGGGGUACUGUGAGCACGGAGCCGAAGCAUCUCGUCAGAGAGACAGAAAGAGCGAGUGCGCGAGAAGUUCAACGGGGCAGGAAGACUGAGAAGGGAAGCGUCCAUCCUAAUGUUCACAGAGCCCUGCAGAAGGUGUGGUGAUGUUAGAUUAAUGUGCUCUUGGUGGUUAAUUCACAAAAGUGGCUGGUGUUUUUUAUCAUCAGCAUUUGGUAGGUGGUCUCAUUGGCGACCGAGCCUAGUUGCUGAGGGGGCCACUUGCGCCUCGGAUCUGUAUAAGCCAAAGACUGUAUGUUUUCACAUUUCAUCCUAAAACCACUCCUUUGAGGAAGAUACUGUUGUCCUAUUUCACAGAUGAGGAAUGAAGGCACAGAGAGGUUAAGUGCCUUGUCAGAGGGCACACAGUAGGUGGCACAAAGUCAAGGUGGCACCCAGGCUGGUGUGAGCCCAGAGCUGGGGCUCCAUGCUCUCAUGAGAAGGGCUUUGCACCCAGGGGCCUUUCUGCCCCCCACAUGCCCGGAGGUGUUAGCUGGCCAGGCCUGCUGUAAGAAAGUGCCGGUGACUGGUGGCCUACGCAACAACAGAAAUGUGUGGCCCCUCAGCUCUGGAGUCUGGAAACCCCCAGUCAAGGUGCUGGGACUCUGAGGGCCAGGACCUGCCCCGGGAGUUCCCUGCUGGCUUACAGGCGGCCGUCUUCUCUCUGUCCCUCUUCACAGCACCCUCGCUCUGAGUACAUCCCUGGCCAGAUUUCUCCCUUUGUCAAGGACUCCAGUCAUACUGGAUUACUGUCUAUCCCAGUGACUUUCUUUUGAGUUGAACUUCUUCCAACUUUGUACAGACCCUGUUUCCAAAGCACGUCACAUUCUGAGGUCCUGGAGGUACAGAUCUGUCUGACACUGUGAGGGGCCCCCAAGUCCACCCACAGUGGCAGGCAGAUCUGCUGGACUCAUGCCCUGGCACGUGUGCUUCAGAUGCUCUGUUUGCAGCAAGGGGACUUUUUCUAGUUGCCCGUUAUUGUCUUUGUCCAUUUUAUUUAAUCUGAUGACUAUCAGCCAUGAACCCGGCUCCCUCCCAAGCAGAUCUGCCCGCAGGAGUGAGUUUUGGGUCAGUCACGAGUUCGCGGGCUCCAACCGAAUCAGCCAGGCCACCGGCAGCGGUGGAACUGGCUCAGGCGGGCAGGAUGAGCUCCUGGGGGCUCCAGGCAUCCCUCCUGCAGCCCCAGGUCUGACGGUCUUGCUCCUGUUGCAGCAGGGAACGCGAGUGAAGCCGAUGUGGCUUUGGGAUUUUCCACCCUGCAUGUGCCUUUUAAAAUUAAACGUGAACCAGAGUAAAAGUCAAGGCCCUGGAAUCUCAUUCUGCCCUUUGCUCAUCUUGCCAUGUAUGGUCGGUUCUCUCUCACAACUUAAGAGGGUCCUGAAAACCCCCUUCAUUUAAAAGCAUUCAUGGCCUGAUAGGGGGUUUGUCAAUGGCUCCCAGACCGCUCCUGUUCCCCAGCCUAAGUCCAGUCCCAGGCCUCCCUCUCCCUCCAAGGGACGCUGACGUGUCCGUCUCUCUCCCUGGCUUCCCAGGUCUGUGGAAGGCAGCCCUGUGGAGGUGGAGAGAGCCGGACUUGAAACCAGGACACUGGGCUUUCUUUUUUGCCUCAUCCCUUGGGCCACAAGGGUGAACCUGGGUGAGCCAUUUAGCAGCUCCCCUCCCCAUGUGGUCAUUUAUCCAACGGAGACGAAAGUCCCUGCCUCGCCUGCCUUCCAGGCGCUCGUGACGGCAGAGAGGGGCUCAGAGGAGCUGAUGCCAACACAAAGCAAGCUCUGAUCUUGCACUGUGUCCAUCUGAGGACAUGUCACCAGGACCGCUUUGUCGUCUGUGUUCCGCACGUGCGUGUCUGAGCCCGGCCGUGAAUUCAGAGAGAGCAGCUUCGCGCACUCAGGCCCGAUGCACGUUGGCUGAGGCAUGAAAGCCAGUCUUGGAGAAGAAGGAAAAGGCCAGUGGGUGACCAAGGGCCCAAAGAAGGUCGUACACAGCGAGCGGGGCUUGUUUUCUCUGGAUCACAAAGGUUUUACAGCCACGGCAGUCGCUGGACGUGGAUCUAAAGUGUCAGACAGCCACUGCUGUCCUGAUGCGAUGUUUAGGAAGUUAUUUUUAGUCAACCUUAUGAUCGAUAUUCUUGCCACUCCUUUGUGUCUUAAUUAAAGCAGAUGGAAAAUGCCCUUUG